GCCUACGACCAUACCAUACCAUGUUGAAUGCACCGGUUCUCGUCCGAUCACCGAUGUUAAGCAACAUUGGGCCUGGUUAGUACUUGGGUGGGAGACCGCCUGGGAACACCAGGUGUUGUAGGCU